GGGGACGACAUGGCUUCGACGUGGUCGGCUUCGUGACGGUGGUUGCGAGUCGAGGUGCCAGGAGGCCUCGUAAAACACCUGGCAAAAAAAUAAGUGCGGACUCUCACGAGUUCAACCUCGUUCACGCCUAGCGGCUAGAUGAGGUUUCUGGCCCCUCGCCUGCCGGCCGCGGGGAUCGGCUGGAUCAAAUGCCGGCUUACCCGGGGAGAUCUGCUCCCGCCGAACCGGGGACAUUUCAGGGAGCUGGUCUUCGGAAACCCCGCCGGCGAGGCGACCCGAAGAUGAGAUCAGAGCGCCGGAUACGCUCGUAGACGCCACCGCCACGCGAUCGCGGACGCGGGUUCGAUUCCCGCCGUCUCCACUG
rnacentral:tmRNA from 1 species